GUAGGGUGCAAGCGUUAUCCGGAAUCAUUGGGCGUAAAGAGCUCGUAGGCGGUUCAGCAAGUCGGCUGUGAAAUCCCGAGGCUUAACCUCGGAACUGCAGUCGAUACUGCUGUGAUUAGAGUCCGGUAGAGGAGAAUGGAAUUCCCGGUGUAGCGGUGAAAUGCGCAGAUAUCGGGAGGAACACCAGUAGCGAAGGCGGUUCUCUGGGCCGGUACUGACGCUGAGGAGCGAAAGCGUGGGGUAGCAAACAGGAUUAGAUACCCUGGUAGUCCACGCCGUAAACGUUGGACACUAGGUGUGGCGUUCCGACCAACGGGUGCCGUGCCGAAGCUAACGCAUUAAGUGUCCCCGCCUGGGGAGUACGGCCGCAAGGCUA
rnacentral:rRNA from 1 species